CCCCCGAGUUCCUGAGGCCCACUUGAGGGAGACUGGGGGCUCCUCUGGCCGCCCAGGCGAGGCCACUCUGACGCUGCCCACAUGCCUCCCAGAGCUCUCUGGACUCUGAAGAGAGCGCCCCUGGUUCUUUCCGGAGGUGAAUGGGAUGCUGGCAAGGGAGACUUCAGAAAAUAGGAAAGGUGGGCUGAGAAAUGGCUCCUAGAGAGUUUGAGCACGAAGUUUCCCUCCCAGGCGCCAUUUCUUUGAGAGGGGGAGGAGAACUAUGGCUUUGCAAAAGAACCAAGUUUCAGGCAUGGUGGCCUGGGUGGAAAACCACCUGUUGCCUGAAGUCUGUCCCUGGAGUCAGGGCCAUCUUGGGCCUGGGCAUGGCUAUGCCGGGUGCCAGGGAGGGGAGGCCCCAGGCUUCCUGCCCUGGUUGACUCCUGCAGCCUCAUGCCACUGACACUGCAGCGGCAUCUUCACCUUCCCAUUAGAAACCACUGUACAACUAGGUAGGUACUUUGUUAGGACAACUUAUCUUCGUCCUUAUCUCAGACAAAACAAGCAGCACACGCAGCCCUGUCUUCAAAUGCAGACCACAACACACACUUCAUUUUUUAAAGAUGGUCUGCUGCUUUGGGGUGUGAGCUCCCUCUCCUCCUGAGCUUCUUGGCAGCAAGGUGAGAAAGGAACUUAGACAAAGGGCACAGAGUUGGAUGAAAGGAUAGAGAAAGGUCGAGGGGGAGCAGAAGAAUUGUAAUACUACACUACAAACUGUCACCGGUUCCAUUAUAAACAGUUUUUAUAGGUGUUUUAUUACUUGGUUGUUAGUUUUUUAAAACACAAACCUCUUUAGAUUAAAUCUUGGCAUUCACAGGCUCAGCCCAGGGAAACAAAACACAGAGAAAACUCCAGCCAUCCGCUUGGCUACUUUUGAGUUACAUUACUGAUAAAACAAACAGCAGGUUGGGUUUCCUCAGACUCUGUCUCAGCCUCGUUUAUUUAGUAUCUUCAAUAGCUUGCUCAAGGCGAAUUUUUACAAACCAUUAGUUAGUUCAUAAUUCAGUGUAGUUCACUUAGGUGUUUCGAAGAGAAGGACACUUAUAAGGUGUGCUUUUUUAUAAUGCAGGUGCUGGGAUUUUUAUUCUCCAAGAAGUUACUAAAUAAACUUAAGAAUCCUGGCCCACUCUUUAUUUAGGCUUUCUGUUCUUUUUUUUUCUUAUGGUCUGCCCAGAUGCACUUUAUUUUGUAAAUUACAUUUGUGACCCUCAGACUGCAUUUUAUCUCAAG
rnacentral:lncRNA from 1 species